UGAAAAGCCACGGCCAUAUGCCAUAUACAUACAGAUUGGAUUGAGAGGAGUAUUCAAUCCUAGAAGUAGAAGUAAAUGGAAGAUUCAAUCAGCAUAUUUAGCAAAGCCCUAGCUUCCUUCUGCAACCAUCUCCAAACCAGUUGCGACGCUCUCAAGCAGUCUGUCGACCGCCGUCCCAUCCCUCUCGAUUCGGCAUCGUCUACCUUCAUACAAUGUCUGAACCGUCGCGUUUCAGCCGUUACCGGCGAUCUGAACUUGCUUGAAUCCAUGUCGUUUGGUACUGUAUCUUUUGAGGAGCUAUUAGGUCACUGCAAUGAAGUUUACAAGAAAAACCAGAGCGAUCUCCUUCAACUUGAAGAUCGUCUCAAGGACUUCGGCUACGUCCCUGAGGUUGAAGUCGAAAUCGAUGAUCAAGAUAAGGAUUCCAGUAUAUCAACGGCUCUUGAUCUGGAACACAAGAAUGGAUUGGACCUUCCCUCUUAUUGCAGACCCGUGUCUGCAGUGAGUUCAAUUAUGAAGAAUUUGGAAGAGGACCCGUUAAUGGAUGAGUCGUUGAGUUUGAAGAGUCUUGGCCUUUCAGACGUUUGUCUUGCCACUCUAGCAUCUGAAGGUGAGUAUUACUAUUGCCUGAUGGGCACCGUGGAUGCUCUAGAAACUCCUUAGACAUGCAUAUACUCAGCUGAACUGCAAAUUAUACUGAUUUUGCUCUGUGCUAGUUGGAUUUCAUGCAAAUUAUACUCACUUGGUGCUUUGCACGAACUUCAUGUCACAUAUUUGUGCAGCAAACAAGAAGAUAGAUGAUCCUGAUAUAUUUAUGGGAGAAUCAAUUAAGUAUUAUGGUGACGAACAAUAUAACAUAAAGAAUCCGGACCAAACUGCUGCAGAUAUCAUUGAAGUAAUUGAAGGGAAAAUGGAAGGUGAUAUGAAGCCGACAGGUAGUCUUAGGGCCCUAGUAGAAGUAUCAAAAGAUGAUUAUGAAAGUCUGCCUUCGUACAUGAAAAGUCUAACUUCAUGGGAGGAUCUGCUAGAGGCUGUUGAGAAAAUUAACUCUAGCCUGAGGAAGAAGGAGAAAGCGAAGGGCGAUAUCUAUUUCCACCAAGAUGAAAUUGCAUCGCUGGGAUUGGGUCCUAGAGCAAGAACUUAUCUGCUGCUGUUAAUGCGCAUGAAUCAGUUGGCGGUCGAGACAAUUGAUGGUUUAAUUUCCUAUAAAGUUUUAUCGAUGAGAUAAGAGACAUUUGUGAGGCUCAAUGUAUCUUGAAACUUAUAAUCAGAUUUUUCUACUCGAAAGAUCUCUUUCAAAACAAAGAUACUUUGUUAAACACUCCCACGCAAAGAUUUAUCCUGUGAAUUAAG
rnacentral:misc_RNA from 1 species